rnacentral:piRNA from 1 species
UAUGAGUGUUAUCACUGUGGAAAAGCCUU